rnacentral:rRNA from 1 species
AAGUCGAGGGGCAGCAUGGUCUAGCAAUAGACUGAUGGCGACCGGCGCACGGGUGAGUAACACGUAUCCAACCUACCGGCUAUUCCGGGAUAGCCUUUCGAAAGAAAGAUUAAUACCGGAUAGUAUAGCGAGAAGGCAUCUUCUUGCUAUUAAAGAAUUUCGAUAACCGAUGGGGAUGCGUUCCAUUAGUUUGUUGGCGGGGUAACGGCCCACCAAGACAUCGAUGGAUAGGGGUUCUGAGAGGAAGGUCCCCCACAUUGGAACUGAGACACGGUCCAAACUCCUACGGGAGGCAGCAGUGAGGAAUAUUGGUCAAUGGACGAGAGUCUGAACCAGCCAAGUAGCGUGAAGGAUGACUGCCCUAUGGGUUGUAAACUUCUUUUAUAUGGGAAUAAAGUGAGCCACGUGUGGCUUUUUGUAUGUACCAUACGAAUAAGGAUCGGCUAACUCCGUGCCAGCAGCCGCGGUAACACGGAGGAUCCGAGCGUUAUCCGGAUUUAUUGGGUUUAAAGGGAGCGUAGGCGGACUAUUAAGUCAGCUGUGAAAGUUUGCGGCUCAACCGUAAAAUUGCAGUUGAUACUGGUCGUCUUGAGUGCAGUAGAGGUAGGCGGAAUUCGUGGUGUAGCGGUGAAAUGCUUAGAUAUCACGAAGAACUCCGAUUGCGAAGGCAGCUUACUGGACUGUAACUGACGCUGAUGCUCGAAAGUGUGGGUAUCAAACAGGAUUAGAUACCCUGGUAGUCCACACAGUAAACGAUGAAUACUCGCUGUUUGCGAUAUACAGCAAGCGGCCAAGCGAAAGCAUUAAGUAUUCCACCUGGGGAGUACGCCGGCA